AUGAAUACGUAGUGGGUCUGUUUUGUUAGCGGGUCUCCAGAGUAGUCUGGAUUCUCGACUCCUCCUCUCCUCUCCUCACAUUUUGUUGAAAACCCCAACAGAAGUAGCGAAGUAGGUGAAAGAAAUUUCCCAAACACCAUCGGUCCAUCUCCCAUCUGUUCUCCAUUUCCAUAAUUUUUUAUCUUUGUAUCAGCAGAUUUUAUCUCUCGCUUCUCAUGGGUUUUCUCUCUUAGCAAAUCAUCUUUUUACUUCAAUCUAGGGUUUCACCUCUUUGGUUCAAUCGUUAUCUAAGAUCUCUCGCUUUCUAUCUCGGUUGCUCUAGGAAGUUUCCAUUUUGUUCUUGCGUAUAGAAAUAUAUCUCCAUAAGAAAACCAUAAGAAAACUACACUAAUCUCUCAAUUUCUUCUCUUUGGAAACAUUAUGGUCGCGAAGAUUCUUAAAUAUGUGAUUCGGUACAAGUUCUAAAUUUUCGGUGUUUCUGGUGAAAUCCCUAGAACAUGAUUUGGGAUUUCACCAGCCGUGGAUCUUUCUAUUUGACGCCUCAACGUAGUUCGUAAGUUUUUCUUUGCAGAUUCAGUUUUUAGAGCGUUGGUGUGAUGUAGUUAGGGCUUAGUGAGAUUGGAACUAGAGAUUGUUCUAUUCAAGGAGCUUGAUGAAGAAGAAGAGAUCAGUCAUAGGUCAGCAUAACCACGGAAGAGGAACAGACUUUGGUUUGAUUUCCAUGUCAUUCUCUUUUGGCAAGUGGUUUCCUCUCUAUCAAUUGUUUUCUUUUCUUUUUAUUCUGAUUCCCCUAAUUGUUAAUUUCUUGUUCAUAGUUGUAAUAUUUAUUUUGAUUCUUCAUACAGGUUAUUUAUGCCGAAAAGAUCUGUAGUUCUCUCAGUUUUGUGAACCUAUGAUAGUCUUUGCAUAUUACAAUGAGUUUGGUUCUUUAUGAUAAAUUUCAGGUAUAAAUCUCGGAAACUAUUCAGCUUAAAAUUAUCAACCAAGUAUCACGAAGACUUUGUCAUCGACUUGUUUAUUUUUAUACAUAUAGAUUACUUAGAAAAGUGUGGCUGAGCUUUGCUUCCUGCCAUAGGGAUGAGAAAUAACAUUUUAUUACAUUAUGUGGAAGUCUUUAGCAGAUUCAUUUCCUUUAUUCAGUACUAAAACCUUUCUAUUCUUGUUAAAAAAUCAGUGUAGUAACUGUGGGUACGCGAAGUAUGACUGGUAGCGCAAAGGUUUUAGAUACAGUUUUUCUGUAAAAGCCUCGAUGACACACCACCACAUGUCAUAUAAAUUGGAUGUAUCCAAAUAGCAGAACUGAACUUUCAAUAAAUAGGACAAUGACUUUAAUUGCCGGUACAUUAUCAUUGUCUUCGUGGUUUCUUGAUCAAGUCUAGGUAAGUAAGAGAUACCCGUGUUAGUAUUAUUGUGCUACUAUUAUGUACUCUUGGGUGCCAUCGAUUAAUUCUACUAAGCUUAAUGACAGAUCAUCUAGAUUUUUCUUCAUAGGUUCUCUAAGAAAAUUUUAAAUCUUAAUGGUCUUAUUCUAUAUAAAUAUAUGCAUACUUCAUUUUUAAUGUAAGCUAAUCUUUUUUUCGGUUGAAUCAUAUGUGUUAUGUAUAUAGCAUGUCUAAAACGCUCCAUUUGGUGGGCGAGCUGUAGACUCAGGCUUGAGAUUUAUGGAUUAUUCAAUUUGUGUAAAGAAAAGAGGUCAUGUUUUUAAUGCAUCAUCAAUCUUCUUACACAAAUAAUCGUAGUCAUAAUUUGCACGAACAACUUUAUUUUGAAAGAUUACAAACCUGUAAUUCUUUUACAAUUAGCAUGGGUUAUGAUACAGAAUGUCAAUUGUUACAAAAAUGUAACAUCCUCCUUUUACAACUGAUCUUCCCUUGUUGACUUGGACAUUUUUUAUUUGAUUUUUAAAUUUACAGGUGUUUGAGUUCCUUGAGAACAUCUCAUCAGCUAAGCCACUUACAUACUUAGAGAUUGCUUUUUCUAGUUGGGCCCUUUCUUAUCAUGUUAAUUUAAAGUUCAAUUAUAUGAUCCUCCCUUGCAAAUUAAAUUUUUUGUCUUUCAUUUAUAACAAACAUAUAUUUUGUCAAUUUCUAGGCCUAAAAUUUUAGAGGAUGGGAGAUAUUGAGAUUCUGCAUAAUUAUGUUCAGUUGUAAGUUGCGUUAGACUUGAGUGUUGUUGAGAUCCAAUGUAAUCUUUUACCUUAAACUGAUCACUUGAGUUUCCAGUUCAUUUGCUCAUUUUUUAGUUGGGAAAACGAUAAAUUGGUCUGUUGUUAAUAGUACCUAGGGAAUGAAAAUAUAGUUGAAUCCAGGGAUGCUUUAUUUAUUAUCUAAUGUUCUUCCUUCAAUUCUAAGAAAGCAGAAAAUUACCUGGUACUGUAUGCAGGAUGCUUGUCUUUUUUUUCCUUGUUUAUCCAUUGUGUCAUCUUCAUGUAUGCUGCAGUUAAAGGUUUUCACCAUAUCUUAUUAUAUGGUGCUUCGCUUCAGGAGUUUGCUCUCACGGAUGCAACUACAUAUAGUUCUUCGAAGAGGCCUUGUUCACCCCUUGCUUUCAUUAUCUGGUUUCAAGUAAGUCUUGGUUCCUUUUUGAUACUGUAAGACAAUGCAGUUACUAAACAAAUACAUAUAUAUGUCGUCAUAGUCCUCACUGUCUUUUAUAUUGUUUGAAGUCUUGUACCUUGUUUAAGUAGUUAUUUAAGCAUAUAUAGCAACUGUAAGUAAUUUUUGAGGUAGGCACUUUUCCGCUUCUAUUUGUGAAGAUAUCCUGCAUUGGUCUUAUGUAUGUGGCAUAAACUUCAUUAUUUAAUUGCUGGCGCAAACAUUCCGUUGAGAUUUGAAAGAUUGAGUUUUCCAUUUAAAGGCUACCGAAUUGAUAAUCCUUUAAUUCCAGUAUACAAAAAUUUAUUUCAACUUGGAUUGGUUGUUGAAAGCAUCAAAAGCUAAUUUGUGCGUGAAGAGAAGGGGGCCUGUGAACAACAAGCUUAUUGUGCUCAGGUGUGUAUCUUAGUAUCUGCAAGGAUUGACAACUAUUAAUUUAAAUAUUUUUUGUAAGUGGUAAUUGCCGCUGCUUCGAUCAUGUAAUAACUGAAAAUGCCUUAUUUCUUGCCAUUAUGAUCUAUAUUAACUUGGGAUCUUUGUAGAAAGAUUAAGCAGUUAGAUAAUUCAAGUAAAUAAGGUCAAUACCGAUAUUUAGAAGUGAUAUAUUGAAAUAUAUGUUCAAAUAUUCUCAACACUCUGCUUUGUCAUGUGUGUUGAUUACUAUGUAGUCUUCUUCUUGUGUGCUGACCCGGCUUACUCCCGCCUGUCUGCAAGUUCAUGGUUGCUGUUUUGUUCAAGAAAUGUUGCUAUGGGAUCGACUUUUCUGUGUGGGUGUCUCCUUGUGAAGGAUCUGUUCACCCUGUAGGGUCUUGUCUUGAGCUUACAAUGUUUGAUAUUGUUUUUUUU